GAACCCCUACCGUGCACGUGAUGCGGUAACUUUUUUUGAGCCAACACCCUCAGAACGGGAACCCCUCCGAGAACGCUGUGUGCAGGCCUAUCCGCGGAGGCGGAAGGGAAGCCUAACGCGUUUGCGGGGUUCCCACCUGGUGAGCCAGGUUCAAACAGGGUCCAGCACACGGCACAAUGGCAGGGGUUCU
rfam:Candidate division NC10 bacterium RBG_16_65_8 RBG_16_scaffold_37078, whole genome shotgun sequence.